rnacentral:rRNA from 1 species
GUUUGACCUCGGAUCAGGUAGGGAUACCCGCUGAACUUAAGCAUAUCAAUAAGCGG